rnacentral:lncRNA from 1 species
GUCUCACUGGAGUUUGUAACAGGUGUUUGGACUGUUAAACAUUCACUGGACAUUUAUUUUCUAUUCUGCAUCAGUCUUGAAGGCCUCCAUUUUUGGCCACCAUCAGAGACUGUGGCAGAUGGGCCUCUGGUUCAUCUUGGAAUAACCACUACUCUUUUCCUGUGCUCUGACUGUUUUUCCCGCUGUGUUCAGAGCAAAACCUCAGCUUCUCACAUUCAACCACCAGACCCUUUGAAGCAGCUGCUGCCAGACAACCAGCAAUUUGAGACACCCUUCCCUGCAAACACAGGAUCAGAGAUUUCUAAAACAAUGGGAUUAUUCCUGAAUCUCAGCAACUUCAAGCAUAGAACAAAACAUCUAUCAUGUUAGAAAUAAAGCAGCUCCAGAUAACA